UGAACUCCUUAGAGAAGCAACAAGAGGAUCAAAGCAGCAAAGUAUUCAACAGAAACACCAGGGGAACUUCAAAAGUACCAAGUUUAAAUCACACCAAAGUUUUUUAGAACAUAAAAGCACUCAAUUCUAUUUUCUCAAGCAUGUUUACCUCAGAUUCCUAAAUACAUCUCAUCCCUUCACAACAAAUGAUCCCUUCCUCAUGUACAGCUACGAAGCACAUAAGCACCAUAUUCACCAACUCCUCCCUCCUGGAUGACUGUCAUUUUACCAAGAAAAAC
rnacentral:lncRNA from 1 species